rnacentral:lncRNA from 1 species
AGACCUUGCUGAAAUCCCUGUCCAGGUCUGGACACGNNNNNNNNNNNNNNNNNNNNNNUCCAGAGACCAGCAAGAACAAUCAGAAAUGUAAAUAUCAUAAUCUGCCAGAAAAAGUGGAAAUUGCUGGAUUGUUUGAACUGGGAAGAGGAGACCUGAGAGGACAAGACUUUAAAACAGGUGGUUAACCUGUGAAAUGUGGGAAGCCCAAAUUCAGUGUGAAACAGAUGUACAUGGAGAAAAAGGAAAUAUAUAGCAUCUUAUAAAAAGGCAUCCUGACGUCGUAUCAUGAGAGAGAAAACGUACAGAGUAGUAGCUACCUGUUUCCACCUUAUCUUGCUUCCUUGGUUUUCCUUACGUGCCAAAGUCAUGCUUCAGUGCCUUCUCCUUUCUGGUGCUUCUUUCUGCUAGAAAUUGCAGUUCCUGGCAACACUGGAUAUUGACUCCUCCCUAUGACAGAGAGCUGCGCACCUACAUGUAGGGACCGCUUUUUGAGCCCAUGAUGUCUGUACAAGCAUAACAAGUAUGUAAUAAAAUAGAUUUGCUUACUCUAGAAUAUUUUCA